CAUUUCUCAUUUUUCGUGCCACACGGGGAUCCUCCCUCACCCCGAGCUCACAGACAAUGACUGAAGUGGUCGACUGUUGACACUGAAAUCCUUUGAAGCAAAAGCGGAAUAGGUAAGACUGGUCGAAAUAAACAUCUAUAAACUUCAUCUGAUUAUUAUUUCUAAUAAUGUGAACUUUCAGUGGAAGAAAUUCAAAUUGCUGCUGAAUAGCCAGAUGAAAAUCUUAGAACUUAACAGGAAAAUCUGUUGUUUAAAAAUAUCAAACUUUCAAAUAAAAAAAUCAUGCAAUUCUUUCUUUAAAGGAAUUAACAAGCGUUUAGGUUGUAUAGACAUAAUGACAUUUUUUAUUUUUAUUUUUUUAAAACAUUUCAACUCCAGUAUUUAGAACAUCUUUAGCACAAUUUACACGUUAAUCAACUCUUCAUAAUUUACAGUGAGAUACAUACACGCAUCGUUAAAAUGGAAUAAAUAAAUAAAGAGAGAAACAGAGAUGAUGGGCAUAUUUGACAAGACAUACAGGCGAAAGAAAGGUCAACCACUUUGAGGCGCCCUGUUAGCAUCCUGCAUCCGAGCUCAAGGGAUUACUGCAUUAGGUUCGAAGUCGGUCAGUAAUGGCUUGCUUACCUUGUAGAACAUCAUUUUUGAUUUGCUAUGAAGACGAUUUCUGUUUCAUCUUGGAG
rnacentral:lncRNA from 1 species